AGCAUGUGUUAACUUAACUUCCU
rnacentral:miRNA from 1 species